AAAGCCGUCGGAAAUCGAGAACAAAAAAUCGCCCAUUUCCGUUUGACUAGUAAACGAAAAGAGAAGAUAAAUUUAACGCAGGCCGCUCAUUUGUUUUUAUUCAAGAAAAUAAAAUAACAAGCUUAAGGUAAAUAUGAAUUAUUAUACACUCCGAGAAGAAACAUUGCCAGGAAUUUUUAAAUGGAAAGACAUCGAUACAGCCAACUUCCACUUCCAGUGUCCAUUCUAAAAAAGUGGCUUUCGGAUAAACCGUUGAUUAAGGUCGAAAAUAUGUAUGAAAAACCAAAAAUAAUAAAAUACUAUAUAUGACUUCAUGGGCAAGCCGUUUGACAUAACGCAGUAUAUUAAGCAG